UACGUAGGGCGCAAGCGUUGUCCGGAUUCAUUGGGCGUAAAGAGCUCGUAGGCGGUUCGAUAAGUCGGGUGUGAAACCUCCAGGCUCAACCUGGGAACUGCAUCCGAUACUGGAUGGCUUGAAUUCGGGAGAGGGAUGCAGAAUUCCAGGUGUAGCGGUGAAAUGCGUAGAUAUCUGGAGGAAUACCGGUGGCGAAGGCGGCAUCCUGGACCGACAUUGACGCUGAUGAGCGAAAGCUAGGGGAGCAAACGGG
rnacentral:rRNA from 1 species